GACGAACGCUGGCGGCGUGCCUAAUACAUGCAAGUAGAACGCUGAAGGAGGAGCUUGCUCUUCUGGAUGAGUUGCGAACGGGUGAGUAACGCGUAGGUAACCUGCCUUGUAGCGGGGGAUAACUAGUGGAAACGAUAGCUAAUACCGCAUAACAGUAGAUGUUGCAUGACAUUUACUUAAAAGGUUCAAUUGCAUCACUACCAGAUGGCCCUGCGGUGUAUUAGCUAGGUGGUGGGGUAACGGCUCACCAAGGCGACGAUACAUAGCCGACCUGAGAGGGUGGGCGGCCACCCUGGGACGGGGACAGGGCACAGUGGCCUACGGGAGGCAGCAGUAGGGAAUCUGGGGGCAUGGACGGAAGUCUGACCGAGAAACGCCGCGUGAGUGAAGAAGGUUGUCGGAUCGUAGAGCUCUGUUGUAAGAGAAGAAAGAGUGUGCGAGUGGAAAGUUCACACUGUGACGGUAACUUACCAGAAAGGAACGGCUAACUACGUG
rnacentral:rRNA from 1 species